rnacentral:lncRNA from 1 species
GAAACUAAAGACUUUCUUUCAUGAAAGAAAAGGAGUUUGGUAAUAAUGCAGAAUCCUUGAGCAAGAAAAUGAGUGAUUUCAGCUUGAAGGACACCUCCACAUAAGAUACAAUAAACAUUCACAUGCAAACAAGAGAGAGGAUCUUCUUCAGCCAAAAGUUCACACAUAAGAAAUUUAGUUUGGCUUGAAGAACAUAUAAUGAAUAAGUAAUUCUAGAUAUCUCUCUCAUAAAUUAGCUGAGCAAAGUCAAUAACUUUAAAUCUUAUUAUGACAUGAUUAAAAUCAUUAAUUGUUAAUCUUUUGAUAUCAUGUCCAUAUAUGUAUUAAUUGACUUAUGCUUUUGGAAAUUGUUUCAUGGUUUGCUCAAACUAAAAUAUUUCUAUGGAUAUAUCAUAACCAUGAAAUACACAAGUAUAUGAUUAAAACUUUGAUUUAGAAUGACUUGUGAGAAGCUACAAAUUCUUGGGCAUAAUGAAAAUGUUGUUUGCAUGAUAUACCUCUAU